AGUUUACAGAUUAAAAAUACAAAUACCACAUUAAAAUGUAAAAUAAAUUAAAAAGGCAAAUAUGCAUUUAAAAAAAUUACUUUAAACAAUAAAAGGAAAAUUUUAUUGUUUCGAGGGAGCGUCCACAUCAGCGAAAAAAUAAUAGCUCUUUGGAAGACACGUGGCAUAUUUUUUUUACAUUCAUCGUUAACAAAGUCUAUGGGCCAUCAUGUUUUGUUGACGUUUAUUUGUUUGGGCCUUUAUAUCACAUUAAUCAACCAAUCAGCUACACUAUAUAUGAUUAGGGUUUCAGUUAUUCCUAUGGAAGGAUUAGGGUUUCAGUCAGACGUGAGGACAUCAAAUCUAACUACUUCCUCGAAAUCUCAUGACAAGGAGAAGAUCGUUGCUUCUCGGAAGAAUCGAGAUGGAUUCCGCCGGGAUAUCCAAGAUUAGGCAGCGUUGAGGUUAAGAAGGACCAUAUGCUCUGGGUGGCUCUUUCAGGAGACGAGAUUGAAUAAGACAUACGUCUUAUAAUGAUCACUAAAAGGGAUGUUAUUAUAUUGUAAAACAGUCAUAUGUUUACAACUACAAUAAUAGUUCUCACUAAUCCUCUCUGAAAAUUGCUUCUCGCAGAAUUUCUCCUAAUUAAAUGCUGGUAUCUGCAUGGAGCGGACUUGGACAAGGCUGCUACGUUUCUAGGAGGGUCGGUGUUGAUUUGCUUCUGGUCACUAACUCUCUAUGUCUUUACAGUCGACGCUAAUCCAGGCCUCCAUCAACGUCACCGGCUCAACAGUUUCCAACUGUUUAUGAUCUUAGCCUUUUCGAUGUGACAAAGAGCAGCCCUAACUUUUGCUUCCCUGAUGCGCCUGUUGCAAUCAGAUUUACGUAGCAUGAGUCUAUGUAGGUUACUCCCAUCUGCCUUAGUGUUUUUGACAAUCUGCUGAUGCUCCUCGAUGAGAAAUUGGUUGCCUUAGGUAUAGAACCAAAGUUUUUCUAGCCACAAACAUCAACCCAAAAUUGGAAGUCUUUUCCGUAAAGCCACCUUUGGGACUCAGUUCUAUUUCGACAAUGAGAACUCCCCUGGAAAGACCUACUUGGAAAGGCACUUUCCCGAUGAACAAGUGUCUGCCUCCAAAACUCUACGAAGUAUGCGAUGUGAGGAAGAUUGAGUCCUUGACUGUAUCGGAGUGAAAGGCUUAUGUGGUUACUGCCAGUCUACAGACUGAAUUCCUAUGCACUGGUAAAGUGGAGGAGAUAUAUAAUUAUAUACUGAUAAUGGAUGGUCCUACACCUCCUGUUCUAAGGGGAUGCAUUUGACACCGCUAUCUUUGUCGCACUUGACAAUGACUCAGCUAACGGAUGUGCGUGCUGCUAAAGUCUCCCAAUUCCUGACGUACAUAACACAGCCCUCAAGACAUUGUUCACAGUACCUUAACCUUCCAGUUGAAGCUCACAGCAUUCAAUUACUCUACAAACAUCAGAGCUUUACUAUCGUACGCAUUUACGAUCACCACCAGUGCCACCGCUUGAUGAUUUUGCUCCCCAGGUGCUGGUUCAAAGGGGAAGAGUUGCACUGAUGUGAAGAACAAUGUUCCUGUGAACAUGAGAGGUUUUGAUAAGUUCAAAAAAAAAAACAUGAGAGGUUUUGCACUGAUGGUGAGACGUUGUAUGGGACAUGCGGGCGAGGAAGCUGUUCAGAAUACAGUCCCUGUUGUUUUUGCCCUAAUCUCCCGGCUACUGAUGACGGAACUUCUGGGAGGUAGGCCCGGACUAAUUAGACUCCCAGCUUUUUGAGUCUACUAUCCUUACUUGACUCUCACCUCUUAGAUGCACUGCAGGCUUUUUCACUUUUGUUUUGUUAUGAAUAUUUUCUCCAGUUUCUACCCUUCAAUGUGUUUUUUCCACCUAAGUUUCUA